rnacentral:rRNA from 1 species
UCUAGUGAUUAUGGCGAGAAGGUCACACCCGUUCCCAUCCCGAACACGGAAGUUAAGCUUCUCAGCGUCAAUGGUAGUUAGGGGUUUCCCCUUGUGAGAGUAGAACGUUGCUGGGC